CCCCUAGAUGUUCUGGGCCGCACGCGCGCUACACUGAACAGUUCAACAAGUCUUAACCUUGGCCGAUAGGUCUGGGUAAUCUUUGAACGCUGUUCGUGAUUGGGAUAGACCUUUGCAAUUAUGGGUCUUAAACGAGGAAUUCCUAGUAAACGCAAGUCAUCAGCUUGCAUUGAUUACGUCCCUGCCCUUUGUACACACCGCCCGUCGCACCUACCGAUUGAAUGGUCCGGUGAAAUCUCGGGACGGCGGCUUGGUCGCUUGCGUCCGACUGCUGAAACUUGAUUAAACCAUAUCAUUUAGAGGAAGGUGAAGUCGUANCA
rnacentral:rRNA from 1 species